AGCGGAGGAAAAGAAACCAACAGGGAUUGCCUCAGUAACGGCGAGUGAAGCGGCAAAAGCUCAAAUUUGAAAUCCCCCGGGAAUUGUAAUUUGAAGAGAUUUGGGUCCGGCCGGCGGGGGUUAAGUCCACUGGAAAGUGGCGCCACAGAGGGUGACAGCCCCGUGAACCCCUUCAACGCCCUCAUCCCAGAUCUCCAAGAGUCGAGUUGUUUGGGAAUGCAGCUCUAAGUGGGUUGUAAAUUCCAUCUAAAGCUAAAUACCGGCGAGAGACCGAUAGCGAACAAGUACAGUGAUGGAAAGAUGAAAAGCACUUUGAAAAGAGAGUGAAAAAGUACGUGAAAUUGUUGAAAGGGAAGGGCUUGCAAGCAGACACUUAACUGGGCCAGCAUCGGGGCGGCGGGGAGCAAAACCACUGGGGAAUGUACCUUUCGAGGAUUAUAACCCCGGUCCUUACUCCCUCACCAUCCCGAGGCCUGCAAUCUAAGGAUGCUGGCGUAAUGGUUGCAAGUCGCCCGU
rnacentral:rRNA from 1 species